rnacentral:rRNA from 1 species
UACGAAGGGGGCUAGCGUUGCUCGGAAUCACUGGGCGUAAAGGGUGCGUAGGCGGUCGGGUAAGUCUGGCGUGAAAUCUCCAAGCCUAACUUGGAAACUGCGUUGGAUACUAUCCGGCUCGAGGAAUGGAGGGGAGACUGGAAUACUUGGUGUAGCAGUGAAAUGCGUAGAUAUCAAGUGGAACACCAGUGGCGAAGGCGAGUCUCUGGACAUUUCCUGACGCUGAGGCACGAAAGCCAGGGGAGCAAACGGG